rnacentral:sRNA from 13 species
AUGUACCACUCGUACACUCCGGUUCCUGUGCGCCGUCCGCACCCACCUGACGACUGCUCGCUACGUUUUGUUAGCU